rnacentral:rRNA from 1 species
UACGAAGGGGCGAGCGUUGUUCGGAUUUACUGGCGUAAAGGGCGCGUAGGCGGCCGAUCAAGUCAGGCGUGAAAGCCCCGGCUCAACCUGGGAAUGGCGCUUGGACUGGUUGGCUUGAGUUCGGAGAGGAGAGUGGAAUUCCCAGUGUAGAGGUGAAAUUCGUAGAUAUUGGGAAGAACACCGGUGGCGAAGGCGGCUCUCUGGACCGAGACUGACGCUGAGGCGCGAAAGCGUGGGAGCAAACAGG